UGCAUUAGCUAGUUGGUAGGGGUAACGGCCUACCAAGGCGAUGAUGCAUAGCCGAGUUGAGAGACUGAUCGGCCACAUUGGGACUGAGACACGGCCCAAACUCCUACGGGAGGCAGCAGUAGGGGAAUCUUCCACAAUGGACGCAAGUCUGAUGGAGCAAACGCCGCGUGAGUGAAGAAGGGUUUCGGCUCGUAAAGCUCUGUUGUUGGUGAAGAAGGACAGGGGGUAGUAACUGACCUUUGUUUGACGGUAAUCAAUUAGAAAAGUCACGGGCUAACUACGUGCCAGCAGCCGCGGGUAAAU
rnacentral:rRNA from 1 species